rnacentral:rRNA from 1 species
UACGAAGGGGGCUAGCGUUGCUCGGAAUUACUGGGCGUAAAGGGCGCGUAGGCGGAUAGUUUAGUCAGAGGUGAAAGCCCAGGGCUCAACCUUGGAAUUGCCUUUGAUACUGGCUAUCUUGAGUUCGGGAGAGGUGAGUGGAAUGCCGAGUGUAGAGGUGAAAUUCGUAGAUAUUCGGCGGAACACCAGUGGCGAAGGCGACUCACUGGCCCGGAUACUGACGUGAGGCGCGAAAGCGUGGGGAGCAAACAGG